rnacentral:rRNA from 1 species
UCGGGAAUUUUGGACAAUGGGCGCAAGCCUGAUCCAGCCAUGCCGCGUGCAGGAUGAAGGCCUUCGGGUUGUAAACUGCUUUUGUACGGAACGAAAAGACUCUGGUUAAUACCUGGGGUCCAUGACGGUACCGUAAGAAUAAGCACCGGCUAACUACGUGCCAGCAGCCGCGGUAAUACGUAGGGACCAAGCGUUGUUCGGAUUUACUGGGCGUAAAGGGCGCGUAGGCGGCAAUUCAAGUCAUCUGUGAAAUCUCCGGGCUUAACUCGGAACGGUCAGAUGAUACUGCUUUGCUAGAGUGCAGAAGGGGCAAUCGGAAUUCUUGGUGUAGCGGUGAAAUGCGUAGAUAUCAAGAGGAACACCUGAGGUGAAGACGGGUUGCUGGGCUGACACUGACGCUGAGGCGCGAAAGCCAGGGGAGCAAACGGGAUUAGAUACCCUCGUAGUCCCUGAGCGGGCUGGCAAGGCGCAU